UCUAAGUGGAAAACUUUUGAAUCCUCCCUUGUGUUAAUUACCUAACAAGACAGUUUCCUGUCAGCAAGAUUCAAAGGUGUUUCCUGAAACACAAAUGUCAUUAACACAACACAAAGAAGAUUCUGGAUGUUUCUAGAGCACACAUGGCCAAGCCUCCUAGACCAGUGUGCACCAGGGGACAGUUCUGCUCUGGCAGGCAUCUCUGCCCUGCAGGGGGAAAUGCAUGCUUCCUGCCUUGCUGACUACCACUGGGCAAUAGCUGGGCAGCUGCCGACGACUGUUGAGCAGUCACUCUGGAGAAGGGACCUGUGGGGACCCCUGAGUGGGAUGGUAGAUAAGGCUGCUUUUGCACCUUGCCACAGACGUGGCUCUUCAGUUGGGCUGAUUUUAUAGAACUGAUUUAGAAGAGAUUAUUUCUCCAUAAGCUCAGGUUCUGGUCAGAACCAAACCCUCUCUGCAGGGAGGAGUUGGGAAGGUCGUCUAUUUCCUGCCUGUUCGACACACAUCUUGUUUUCCUAGCAAACGUGGGACUGUAAUGCCAACGAAUUGACUGUCCGUGUC
rnacentral:lncRNA from 1 species